rnacentral:rRNA from 1 species
CCUACGGGGUGCACCAGUAGGGAAUCUUCGGCAAUGGACGAAAGUCUGACCGAGCAACGCCGCGUGAGUGAAGAAGGUUUUCGGAUCGUAAAACUCUGUUGUUAGAGAAGAACAAGGACGUUAGUAACUGAACGUCCCCUGACGGUAUCUAACCAGAAAGCCACGGCUAACUACGUGACAGCAGCCGCGGUAAUACGUAGGUGGCAAGCGUUGUCCGGAUUUAUUGGGCGUAAAGCGAGCGCAGGCGGUUUCUUAAGUCUGAUGUGAAAGCCCACGGCUCAACCGUGGAGGGUCAUUGGAAACUGGGGGACUUGAGUGCAGAAGAGGAGAGCGGAAUUCCACGUGUAGCGGUGAAAUGCGUAGAGAUGUGGAGGAACACCAGUGGCGAAGGCGACUCUCUGGUCUGUAACUGACGCUGAGGAGCGAAAGCGUGGGGAGCGAACAGGAUUAGAUACCCGGGUAGUC